rnacentral:lncRNA from 1 species
GUUAAUUUCCUAUUACGACGAUUUAACGUUGAUUCUCCAAUCGUCGUUUUUAGCUCAUCGUAAUGCGUCAAUCAUCAUAAAAUCAUCGUAAAUAUUACGACGAACAGGACUAGUAUUUAAAUUGUCAUAAACUGGUUCGUCGUAAAUUAGACGUACUAUUACGUCCACAUAUCUCGUCGUAAAUUAGUCGUUGUUAUGUUGUCGUAAAAGUGGUUGUAAAAAUUAGGUUAGAUGGGCAUAAAUUUACGACGAAUUCACGUUAAAAUUCGACGCUAAAAUUCGACGUUAAUUAGUCAAAACUUUUACUACUAGUUUACGACAAAUUAACAUUAGUAUUUAUUCAUUUUAAAAAAUUAUUUUAAAUUAUAAAUACAAAAAAAAAAAUUUGCAAAAUUAUUUAACUUUGAAAAUUAAAAUAAAAAUCUAUAUUCAAAAUAUAUUACAAACCAAAAAAAAAUUAAACCUAAAGGCCCAAGUCGUCACGUAGCUCUGAACUACGGCGCUCGGUAUGUCGCUCUAGCUCUGCCUGCUCUUCCGGUGUGCGGUUGGGAUUUAUGUUUGGACGUACCACCCACCACAUCUCCGCAAAUUCUGGGUUCGCAUCCGCCAUGAGAUCAAACAUCGACGCCUUGGCAAUCAUCUGGGUCAUGUUCUCCGCCAUGACGGUGUUGGCAACCAACAAAGCUUCCCAGAGCUGAGAAAUUUCCUCCCUUGCAGCAACGUGACAUGCUCUCAUCCUCGGAAUAUCGUUCACUGAACCGAUUCCGACCAUCCAUUCCUUUCUUCGAGACAACCGAUUCCGACCAUCCGUUCUACCCGAGCAUCCACGAACGUUCCAUCCGCAUGUUGGUGCGUCUUCUUGUAAAGUCGGGAAAGAGAAAGUGCUUCUC